rnacentral:rRNA from 1 species
CAAAGCUGGGGCAACCUGGCACUUCAAGAGGAGCCUGCGUCCGAUUAGCUAGUUGGUGGGGUAAAGGCCUACCAAGGCGAUGAUCGGUAGCUGGUCUGAGAGGAUGAUCAGCCACACUGGGACUGAGACACGGCCCAGACUCCUACGGGAGGCAGCAGUGGGGAAUAUUGGACAAUGGGCGAAAGCCUGAUCCAGCAAUGCCGCGUGUGUGAAGAAGGCCUUCGGGUUGUAAAGCACUUUAGGCUGGGA